UGGACACGCGAGGACUCCGGGGACAGAAGUCAUCACUUAAGGUGGACUCCUGUCGGUGGGGAGGCAAAAGCAAUUAACCGAUAUCAUGAGACCUAAUGUAAUCACUGGACAGCCAUGCGGCUGGUCUCAAGGCAUGAUGAGAACCUAAAGACCUGCAGAUGUGCACAUGUGAAGACCAACACCUGGAAGAGCCAUGAGGUCCACAGAACUGCAGAGUAGCCUGUACUGGGGCCUGCUGCCCUCACCCCAGAACCCCGAGCCCCCGCGCUCACAAACACCAGCACUGGAGUUACCAAGUUGUUUAAACUGAAUGGGCAGGUUACAAACAUGGUCCAGAUGCCAUUUCAAGCAAAUGUUCCCAACUGAAAAGGUAAAGUACAGGUUCAUAUUU